AGGUCUCAAGUCUUGAGCUCAAGAGAGCGUGUAACAGGAGCAGCGGUUAGCAUGAGACUGUUAUCGCGAGACUGGCCGUUAGCGCGCUGUCCUUAGCCGUCCCCUCCACCAACGGUUAGAAUCACGGUGGUCCCCACGGCAGCAGUCUCCCAGGGUGGCAGUCUGUGGGACCUGGCCCAUUUGCUUGCCGGCGCGGACACCGGGCAGGGCAGGGGCCCUUUGUUUGGCUUGUAAAAGCUCCGAAACAGCGGCGCCCUCAGUGACUGCCAGGCAGCCCCAAGCGGAAGUGGAGACCUGUGGGCUACUGUGAGGAGCGUCGAUGGCGGAGGUGACCUCCUGCCUGAGGAGCCUGUUCUGACAUCUGAGGGAGGCUCCGUGAGCCCCUUCUCUGGUUGUUAAACUUGAAGAGUAUUAUACUUUCAGAUAAAAUUUUGCAGAACAGAUAAUAGUAUUGGUUGUUUGGAGGUUACAGGAACAUCGUGACCUGACCCGCAUGGUCAGCUGCAAGAACAAGAAGUAUGCAACAAUUAACCACAUCCCUCCGUCACCUUGCCUUUAAAAGGAUUUUGCUGCAAGGCUUCUGGGAGUUUGGUGUGUUCUGUUCUUUUUUUUUUUUUAAGGCGCGAACCACCCCUCUUCUGCAAUAAACCUCUGUCUGCCCCCAAACUGUUUUGGUAUCAUUUGGCCUCACUGUGCAUUGGGCACAGGGACUUGAGGGUAAUACUCUCCUUAUUUAAAUUCUUCUGGGAAAAAGCAAGGCUCUAAGGUGUUCGGGACUAGAAGAAUACAGGAAAAUGAAAGAGACAAUGAAACUAUUCUGCAUACUCAGCAACGGAAGUUAGAGGACACAGCAGCAACCACUAUAACGAGAAUCAAGCAAAAAGUUAAGGAGGUUAGGGGAAGGAAAUAGGAAAAGAGAAACUUUCAUCUCCAUGGUUUGUUUCCACAAUGAAAAUUGAGGUUGCGGAGUUGGGUUCUCAUGAUUGAGAUGGUGUUGAGCAGAGAAGGAUGAACAGCAAAGGUGACUUAUAUAAUGUGGGGAAAAAUCAAGUGUCCCAAAUCAAAUGAAAAAGAGAAAGAAGAAACAGAUGUAUUAAUGGAGAAGGGAAGUAAUUACUAAUACGGUAUUACUUCACCUCCCAAAGUGAUAACAAUCUAAUGUGAAGACAGCCAUGAAACCAUGAAAUUCAGUGCAAGUGGAAAGAGCUAUGAUAACUCUCAGCACAGAGGAGCGUCAUGCACACCAACCUAGGCAAUCAGGGAGGAUUCUUGGAAGAAAUAACCAGAAAUUUACCAGAUUGAAGAGAAAUAUGAGGAAAAACUAAAAAAAAAAGAAAGGUUAAAGGAAAGAAAUAAGCAGCUCUAAAAAGACAGCAACAUUUGAUGUAAUAGAGGAAAAGAAGAAGUCUCUUUGUUUGAACUUGCUGAACACCAAUCCUGCCCCCCCAGAUUGUGAGAGCCACUAUGAGGAUCGCUGGAGGAGGUCAUGGAGAGGGCGAGACCGUUGAUUGACCCUUGAGCCAGCCCCAGGCAAUCAGAGGGUCCUCACCCCUCCCCUGUCCUUGGAAUGCACAUCUGCCCACCGUUCCCACAAUAGGAGCCAUUUUCAAGGCUCUGAGAGAACAAUGUGUUUUUGAGACCUUCUGGAUGGUAUAUAUGCUUAAUUAUUCACGUUAAGGCCUCUAUAUAAACUUAUGUGUGUAUAUGAGACUCUGUCAGGUAGGUAUGGAAAAAUGUACUUAUCUCAAACUCACCAAGGCAAGCUUCAUAUGUAAGUUUCCUUGCUUAUUAAAUUAGCCUCCUACCAGUCUGGAGUGGUCUGCCUUUUUCUUUGAUAUCUCUUUGACCUCCGGGUACAGGUCCCAAUAUGCAAGCUAAAAGAGAUACGGAAAAGGGAAUAAAUACAUCAGUCAGUGCAGCGUGAACAGCAAUAAAUUCCUCCUUCUUGUUCAACUG